rnacentral:rRNA from 1 species
GACGAACGCUGGCGGCGUGCUUAACACAUGCAAGUCGAACGGAAAGGCCCUGCUUUUGUGGGGUGCUCGAGUGGCGAACGGGUGAGUAACACGUGAGUAACCUGCCCUUGACUUUGGGAUAACUUCAGGAAACUGGGGCUAAUACCGGAUAGGAGCUCCUGCUGCAUGGUGGGGGUUGGAAAGUUUCGGCGGUUGGGGAUGGACUCGCGGCUUAUCAGCUUGUUGGUGGGGUAGUGGCUUACCAAGGCUUUGACGGGUAGCCGGCCUGAGAGGGUGACCGGCCACAUUGGGACUGAGAUACGGCCCAGACUCCUACGGGAGGCAGCAGUGGGGAAUAUUGCACAAUGGGCGGAAGCCUGUUGCAGCAACGCCGCGUGCGGGAUGACGGCCUUCUGGUUGUAAACCGCUUUCGCCUGUGACGAAGCGUGAGUGACGGUAAUGGGUAAAGAAGCACCGGCUAACUACGUG